rnacentral:lncRNA from 1 species
GUCUUAAUCCUCUGACAUCUGGAGAGGGCGCUUUCUAACCUAUGUUAUUUCUCAAUCCAAUCACGUUAAUGAUCAAGAUGAGCCACCAUCAAAAGUGACUUGGAAGUGACCCAUCUCACUUUUUCCUCUUUCUGGUUUCUGUUUUCAGACCCUUUCUGUCUAUAAAAUGAGCAUCUUUUGAUCCUGGGAAUGCAUUUUUGUCUUCUGGGUGAAGUGUCACCUGACUCCAGAAUUAAAAACGAACUAACACAGAAAACCCAGAUGUCUGCUACGGGCAAGGGCAGGGCCACCGACCUUUGACCUGGUUCUUUGGGUGAUUAUUUUUAUAAAGCUUCGUAUUUACUUCUCCCCCAGCAAAAGCAUUUUCAUUCAUUUUAUUCUUGACGCGCCUUAACUUCUAAGAAACUGGGUAGUGCAUGGAAGGCUAUGGAUCUGGUGUAACCUGCUCGACCAGUGUGCCACAGGGUGAGGAGCAAGGGCAGGCCACAGGCCUUCGUACUUCAAGGAAGCCAAAGGGUGAAGACACGCUUGAGCUUCGUCCUCUCUUGGCCCCUGGCACUCCACCCACCAAUUCCCUGCAGCUGCAAGAGUAGGCCUGUCAGAUCACUUCCGUCUGCCGCUUUUCCGGGCAUGCUAACGAGCCACACCGCUUCCGCUUCACACUAGACAUCUGCAGAGACUGUGUGGUGGGGCAUGGAGGAAGAGAGAGGGCGCAAAAUCAGGGCCCCCAGCUGUUCCACAUCCUCCAUGGAUGGCGCUCCUUUCUGAAAAAUUGGUGGAAUGUGUGCAUAGCAGCUGAGGUGCAGAGGUAAGUGUAGCUGUCACCUUUUAUACAUAUCUACAACAUGAACAACUGAACCUGAGCUGCCCAACUGCAGUUGACUAUUUAAGACCGAAUCUGUACACCUAAAGCUCAGAGAACAUCUCAGAAGAGAGAGUGGAAAGAUUGUAAGAGCCAGAAGACCAGGAUGUCUGCUGCAAGAGAGUGUCUUUAUAUUUGGCUGGGAACAUACACCUAUGAAAUCCCCAUAAUAUGGCCACUAAACAAAACAAAUACAAUGUCAAGACCAGAUGGCAAACCACUGUGCAUAGGGGAUAUCUCACAAAGUCCUACUCCUAGAUGAAGAGCUACAGGCAAUUAAUGGCUGCAGAGAGAGAGAAAAAGAAUUAGUUUUCCCCAGGAAUAACGCCACUGAUAGGCUAUCUAAUCCCAAGUUGUCAGCCCUAAACAUAUCCAUGUGAGCAAUACUAAAUGCACUUAUCAAAUUGUAUUUAUAACUGUGUGUACAUAUGUGUGUGUGUGUGUGUGCGCUCAUGUGUAUGCCAACAAUAAUUAAAGAAAUGGUCAUGAGUUUGAGAGAGAAAGGCACAGAAGGAGUUGGAGGGGCAGAGGGGGUGAAAAUGAUGUUCAUACAAUAUUCAUGCAUGAAAUUCUGAAGAAACCAACCAAACAAUUGAAAUUAAAAAAAAAAAAGAUACUGGGGAGGAGAAAGUCUUCCACCACAAUUUAGUGAUUGCCAGACUGAAAUGUGUGUGCUUUGCACAAUCAGUGAAGUUUGACAGGAAGAAGCAGGGUCGAGAAGUGGGUAUUUACAGUGACCAAAUGGACUACUCAAUCUUGAAUGCCCUUUGAGAGAUGACCUUCCAGAAAGGCAGAGGAUGAGUUCGCGUCUGCUCAGAAGGCUGUCCUGGGCAUCAUGUUUCCAAGACUCAAUUAGGAAGUUAUUCUUGUGAGGGAUGUAUUUUGCAUUUCUCCUUCUCCUUCUCCUUCUCCUUCUCCUUCUCCUUCUCCUUCUCCUUCUCCUUCUCCUUCUCCUUCUCCUUUUCCUUCUUCCUUCUUCUUCCACAAAUAGGAAAUCUUGAACUAAUCCACCACUGAAGUACUCAGUGCUUAUGUUAAACUCCAAAUCAUUUUUUUCACUAUUGCUCUCCCAAGGAAAGUUCUAAACAAUUUUUUUCCCAUAAUCAUUCCAUCCUUAUGAAAUUUAAAGUCACAGUUGCCCUGCAUGACUUUUAAUAUACAGAUUGACAUACUAGUUAUGUUGGCACAUUAGUUAUUACAGUAAAAGGUAAUGUUUUUCACCUCUCUUGGGUCAAUAUAAGUCCUACUGAGAAUUCAUGCUCUAAACCUUAAGUGUCUUGUUAAAUAAUUUAUUGAAUAUUAAAGUAUGCUCUUUGUAGCCACACAUGCAUAUUUCUUUUGUUUAAGAAUGAAAAAACAAAAAUCAGAAUUUUGAAGACACUCUUGAGAGGUGCAAAUAAAACAACUGAAAAUUCAAGGUCAGCCUAGGCUACUAGUGACCUCAAGGAUAGCCCAGGACACAGAUCACGUUAUCUCAAAUUGUUCAUGAAAUAGCUCCAGUAGAACUUUAAACAUGAAAAUUUUAGAGACAAAUUUGAUAGAUGUUAAAAUGUACAUCCUCAAAGGCAUAAUACACUGAUGAAAGAAAUUAAAGAUGCAAAUUAAAUGAAAUGGCAGCAUUCUCAUGAAUGAAAGAACUUCCUCAUCACCAUGACAUCUGUGCCCCUUCAAACUGAUUAUGGAGUUAAUAUGACUCCAACACUCAAGCAAGUUUCUAUCUAUCUAUCUAUCUAUCUAUCUAUCUAUCUAUCUAUCUAUCUCUCUAUCUCUCUAUCUUUUAUACAUAUGGUAAAUAUUUUGGUAAAAUGAAUCUAAACAGACAAGGACACAUUUUGUAAGAGAAUGGACCAAUUUGGGCCUUUCAGUACUUAAUUUGAAGAUUUACUGCGGAGUGUCAGGAUUUGAGACAGUACAGGGUGUGUAAGUAGGGAUGCAUGGCUUACAUGGUCAAACUACUUUCUUGAUAGAGCUUUCAAAAUACUUCAACAAGGACAAGACAUGGCUAUUUGCUUUUUAAGAAAUAGUUCUGUAUUAACUGGCUGUUCAUAUGAAAAAAUUAUGAGCUUCAAAAUGUGUCUCAUACUAUAAUUUAAAAAAAACUCUAAAUUGGUUAUAUACCCAGAUAUAAAAUCUAUAUGCUGAUCUUAUAAGCUUGGGGUAUAUAUUUAAAUUAAAUAACUAAAUGAUUUUAGGAAAGACUAAUAUAGUUCAAAACAAAAUUUAAAUGUUAUGUAAGAAAACUCUCAAGUUGGAAUGCUAGUUUUUGUUGUACUUCUCUAAGGAGUGUUGGGCUACUCUCUCCAUCCACUUAAGUUACCUAGAGAUCAGUUGGGUUCUUUUGAGUCUUGCUUUUUAGGUUUAUAAGGGCAGAUCCAGAGCAGACUUUACAUUAAGGCCAACAUUCCUUCUAUUAAGGCCUGACCCUUUAAGGACUGUCCAAUGCCCGAUGUGUUAUGAGAUAUCUUAUAAUUAGUAGAAUUAUAGUCCUUCCUUGGCCUCUGUGUGAGCGAUAGUAGUCACUAUCCUAUGGAAUUUCAGUGGUUUUAUCCCCUAGAGCCGUGGAGCCUUCUCUCACUCAUGGCCAAGUCACUUCUUAGAAGACUACAAAGGAUUCAUCAGGUUUGCAGAAGUCUCUCUCUGUGUAGCUUCCAUAAUCAUAUGUCAAUUUUGUUUCUUCAACCUUGACAGUCUUUGAUAGUUUUGUAUAUCUGUGUUGUGUGUGUGUUGUGUUUGUGUAUGUGUUGUGCAUGUGUGUAUGUGCCUAUCCCAGGGGAUGGCUAAGUUCUGGCUUAUUCUUUUCCCUGCAUGGUUACAUAGUCAUUGUCUCCAGGAGGCUAGCUGGAAAACACAUAGAGCUCAAACUGUUUUGUCUUUCUGAGGUCACAGUCUUGAGUUACCUACUGUCCAAUGCCUAAAACCAGUUUUUAAAAAUAGUUUCCAAUUAUUUACAAGAGGGUAAUUAUCAGCUUUGAAAUAUAAAUUAUCACCAAGGAAAUAUAAACUCAGAAAAAAUAAUGAAACCUUUAGAGUACAAAUAUCUUAAAGAAACACAACUAUAUAGAUUGCACUAGACAAAAAAUUAAUCAGAGAUAAGCAUUUAUAUAACCAUACACAUAUACACAUAUUUGUAAGAAGUAAGGCAAUGGUACUCAAAAUAUAAAGAGAGAAUAAUGAUCUUAGAAGAACCAAAUGAAGUUACUUGAAUUGAAAAAUGAAAUAUCUGGCUGCUUUUCUAAUAUUGCAGAUUAGAUUUUUUAAUAAAAACUUCCCAUGGUAAAUAUAUAUAUAUAUAUAUAUAUAUAUAUAUACCUGAUUUAUUUUAUACUGUUUUAAAAUACAAGACUGAAUCCACAAUCAGCUUAUCCUAUACUCCUAUACUCCGCUCUACCUCUGAACAGUCAAUGUGGAAGUGCAAGCAGCCCUCGUCAGUACAAAAUCUCUGUGAAGCAGAUUGCUGGUGAUACCCUGGUCCAGCCCCAGGAACAAGUCUUGAACAGAGACAGAGCAAGGGUUGAGGACAUACAGGAUGGAUGGAUGGAUGGAUGGAUGGAUGGAUACUGUGGUACAAGUGAUAAGCUCAGGAACCUUGAACUUUGACUAUUAAUGUCUUGUCAAACAAGACAUGGGAGACAGGGUUAAGGCACUGAAAAGAUUGUCAGAGAGGACCUCUGUGCCACUUCCUAUGAAACCAAUCCCAAAGCAGCCAUAUCCUUAACGAAUUAUUUAUUUAAAAGAUCCAUUGGUUCCAAACAAAAGAACCAUUUAGGAAGCAGAUCUGUACUCACUAUGAUAUCAGGAGGAAACAAAAUUGCAGCAAUAAUUCCUCUAGUUCAGUUUUUCAAAUGCAUAUUUUCUUCAUGGUCGGAGAAACAUUAAUCUAUAAUUAAAAUAAAAUGGUUCUAGGUUAUAGGAAUCCAGGGAUUAUAACAGAACCAAACAUGAAGUCUCUUUGGCAGAAACCAGGUUCUUUAUAGCUCUCAUGGAUUAAAUUUGGCUAAACAAAAGUUCACUUUUUUUUUAAGUGUGUAUGUGCCAAGACCAUGAGGAAGCAAACUUCCUAGAUAGUCAGAAGGGUCAGUUCAAAAUAGAUUUAGACUGCAAAAGCCUCAAAGUUUGGAAUGAUCUGAAACAAUGUGUACAAUCACUAAAAGUAACCAGUUUAAAAAUAAAAGACUGGAUCAAAAAUAAACAACAAAGAUAGAUUAUGGAGCUGGAAAGAUGGCUCAUAAGUGAUGAGCAAUGGCUUCUCUGGCAGCCAGUUCAUUUCCCAGCAGUGACAUGGGCAGCCCAAAUCAUCUGUAACUCCAGUUCCAGGGGAUCCCAUGCUCUCCUCUGGCCUCUGUGGGGACUAGGCAUACAUGCAGUGCAAUUACAUACAUGCAGGCAAAGCACUCAUGUAUAUAAAAUAAAAAUAAGUAAAACUUAAAAGCAUUAUUAUAUCGGUAGCUACAAGGAGGAAGUAAAUGGAGAUUCUAAACAUGAAGGCAAAGAUCUUCAAAUUUUUGUGUUACUUUCAACAAAAUUACUUUUUCAAAUAUAAGGAUAAGAUAAAGAUGUUCUCAAUUAUACAAGUCCUGGAAAUUUUUAAAAAAUUAUUUCUUUUCAUGAUUUUUUAAUUAUGUGUGUGUGUGUGUGUGUGUGUGUGUGCAUGACUGUAGGCAUCUGGGAGUCCAGAAAGGGGCAUUGGAUCUCCUUGAAGCUGGAAUUACAGGUCAGUGUGAGCCAUCUAACACUGACAUGGGUGCUGGAAACUGGACUCAGGUUCUCUGCCAGAGCAGAGUGUGCUCUGAACCCCCACUCCCAAGCCACCUCUCCAGUCUUAACUUUGCAAUCUCUAACACAAAAUGAAAGUAUUUUGCAAAGAAG